rnacentral:ncRNA from 1 species
AGCUGUCUUCGGGGCGGGGUGAGAUUCCCCACCGGCGGUAAUCCGGCUCAGAGCCGGCGAGCCCGCGAGCAUAUGCAGAUUUUGGUGAGAUCCCAAAGCCGACGGUACAGUCCGGAUGAAAGAAGACCUGC